AUUGAACGCUGGCGGCAUGCCUUACACAUGCAAGUCGAACGGCAGCACGGGUGCUUGCCCCUGGUGGCGAGUGGCGAACGGGUGAGUAAUACAUCGGAACAUGUCCUGUAGUGGGGGAUAGCCCGGCGAAAGCCGGAUUAAUACCGCAUACGAUCCACGGAUGAAAGCGGGGGACCUUCUGGCCUCGCGCUAUAGGGUUGGCCGAUGGCGGAUUAGCUAGUUGGUGGGGUAAAGGCCUACCAAGGCGACGAUCAGUAGCUGGUCUGAGAGGACGACCAGCCACACUGGGACUGAGACACGGCCCAGACUCCUACGGGAGGCAGCAGUGGGGAAUUUUGGACAAUGGGCGAAAGCCUGAUCCAGCAAUGCCGCGUGUGUGAAGAAGGCCUUCGGGUUGUAAAGCACUUUUGUCCGGAAAGAAAUCCUUGACUCUAAUACAGUCGGGGGAUGACGGUACCGGAAGAAUAAGCACCGGCUAACUACGUG
rnacentral:rRNA from 1 species